rnacentral:lncRNA from 1 species
CAGGUAUCAGACAAACUAAUGAACAACUAAAUCGUUGACGCAAGUUUGUUUUAAUCAAUUUGCGACGAACUCUUACUUUGUGGCAUGCACAAUAGAAGUCCCCGUUUAAACCAAAUUUGGCUGCGUAUUGAUACAUCCAGCAAGACAAAACGGAUGCCGCCUCUCCAGCAUUGGUUUUACUUACUGCCGGACAAGAUAGAUCACGUGACCA